GAUAAACGCUGGCGGCGCACAUAAGACAUGCAAGUCGAACGGAAGUCGUUGUAAUGAUAUAGACAUGGACUGAGAACUUGUUCAAAGAAAGUGAAAGUUGACUUACAACAAUGGCUUUAGUGGCGGACUGGUGAGUAACACGUAAGCAACCUGCCUAUCAGAGGGGAACAACAGUUAGAAAUGACUGCUAAUACCGCAUAUGCCUAAGUACCACAUGGUACAAUAGGGAAAGGAGCAAUCUGCUGAUAGAUGGGCUUGCGUCUGAUUAGAUAGUUGGUGGGGUAAUGGCCUACCAAGUCAACGAUCAGUAGCCGGACUGAGAGGUUGAACGGCCACAUUGGGACUGAGAUACGGCCCAGACUCCUACGGGAGGCAGCAGUCGGGAAUAUUGCGCAAUGGAGGAAACUCUGACGCAGUGACGCCGCGUGCAGGAAGAAGGUCUUCGGGAUUGUAAACUCCUGUUGUUGAGGAAGAU
rnacentral:rRNA from 1 species